rnacentral:rRNA from 1 species
UACGUAGGGCGCAAGCGUUGUCCGGAAUUAUUGGGCGUAAAGAGCUCGUAGGUGGCUUGUUGCGUCUGCCGUGAAAGCCCGUGGCUUAACUACGGGUCUGCGGUGGAUACGGGCAGGCUAGAGGCUGGUAGGGGCAAGCGGAAUUCCUGGUGUAGCAGUGAAAUGCGCAGAUAUCAGGAGGAACACCGGUGGCGAAGGCGGCUUGCUGGGCCAGUUCUGACGCUGAGGAGCGAAAGCGUGGGGAGCGAACAGG